UUGGUAGUGGCGUGUACCACAAUUUGCUUUGCCCAUUGCGAAAACGUGAUUGGUAAAUGGUCUGCCAGAAUAUACACUGACCGUGUUGUGUUCAGAUCUUCAGGUGGAGUCUCCUGAGACAGUGACAGAGGGCCAGAAUGUCAGUCUGACAUGUAAAAGCAGCUGCGCUCUGACUGACAGAGCAACAUUCAUCUGGUACAGAAACUCACAGCCAUUAACUGAGAGAAGAGACAGAAACAAUCAACUCCUGCUGCAGUCAGUCAGAAGAGAGGAUGCAGGCAGAUACAGCUGUGCUCUACAUGGACACACUUACAUCUCUCCUGCUGUUCAGCUCAAUGUCAUGUGUGAGUAUGGAUUGACUUUUCAUCUUUAAAGUUAUCUAUGAAAAGCUACCAGAGUUCAGGAAUUAGAGAAGCAUUGGAGGAUCCAAAGCUUUCAUCGGUUUGAUGGUGGUUGUGCUGCAAAAAAGGGAAAAAUAAAAACAAUGUGCCUGGAGUACUUGUGACACUGAUUUCAGGUAUCCUGAGAGAAUAAGCUACAUCAUUUAUUGUAUUACAUUUCCUAAACCCAAACAAAACAGAGCAAAACGACCAUGCACAUUCAAUCCCUAUACCAAUGAAGACAAAAACUUUUUCUGGUAGACAAAAACUAAUUUUCUGGUUGAGUGAUGGCCUAUAUUCCUUGCUGCUGUGUGGCUCUGUUCAUUUUAGUGUUUCAGUGGGGCGGGGGUGCAGUCUGAAUGCAGAUGGAGGACCCCUGGGCCCAGAGUCUCUCCUCAUUAUAAAAGCUUCCCACUUUUCCCUGUUGGGUGUGUGUGGGGGGAGAAAUGAAAAUGAUGUAUCAGUAUUGUUUUAAUUUAUAUAACAUGACAUAUUGUUACAUAUAAUAAUCUGUAAUGCAGUUGAUAAAUGACACUGCAAUAAUGUGUCUGUGUGCCAUUUCAAUUUUUAUGAAACUUGAAUUUUCUUUACUAUAUUGCAAUUUUCCUCCCCUUUAUUUCAGGAAAAUAUGCUGCUCCUCAUUAUUUUAAAGUGAAGAAAUCGAGAAACUUUUAUUUCUACCGGCCAGUGAUGAUUCUGAAAGGACAUACCUGUAAUCUGUUGCUAUAGUAACGAACGCAAUUUCAUGAUCAUCAUGCUCUUAUUUUAGUGCAGUUGUGUCAGCCAUUGCAGUCAAAUAUUGAGAUAAACUUUAUAAAGUAUCAUCUAUUUAUAUUAAAUUAAUAUAUUAAAUUGGUAUCUUCUCCGAUACCCAUUUUACGACCAUUAUUGAGCCCAUUCUUUUCAAUCAGCUGGAAUGAUUCGGGACAUUCUACAAACCCGAUUCAAAAAAAGUUGGGACACUGUACAAAUUGUGAAUAAAAACAGAAAGCAAUGAUGUGGAAGUUUCA
ensembl:lncRNA